GCUACAGACCACAGGUUGCUGUGAAAAUCACUCUGGGAUGUUAAUUCUGGUGUGAGCAUUGUGCUAACCUGCCUCUGCUGUUCCCUUAUGCUACCAUGGCAUAGCUCUGCAUGGUGUAGCACACACACAGUGACUACUUUGGAAGUACUUGGGUGUUUCUAGCAUAUUGCUUUCAUUUCCUGGAUUUAGACUCGUGUCUAACUAUCUGCCUAAUUAGCCCCAGUACUCUAUUUUCCCAGUGUAACUUUCCCUAAAUCAGUCCAAUGCAUCAUAUGGUACUAUUCUACUGUCUAAACAAGUGUCUGUUUUAACAUGUCUGUUGUGUGAAAACUCAUGUUUGCACACUGAAACUUCUGCCUUUCUGCUGGUGGUUUCUGGAGAUAAAUGCCAGAAUUAGAUUGCUGUUGAAAAACUGACACAGAGGACCCAGAGUCAAAGUGGACUCUGUCAGAGAUGCUCUGGAGAUGUAUAUCCCUGAGCCUUCCACAAAGGACAGAAACUAAUACAACCAGCCGGCACAGAGCUGUAACUCCAAUUCAUUCAAGGAAGAUGAAAUUUGCAAGUGUUUUUUGUUCAUGAAAUGAAAAGUCACGGUGCACCCUUAUUUCAUCUCCAUCAAAUAAUCAACUGUUGCUGAAUGAAGUAAAAUAAAGCCUGCACAGUUGCCAUCAA